UACGUAGGGGGCUAGCGUUGUCCGGAUUUAUUGGGCGUAAAGAGCGUGUAGGCGGCCAGGUAGGUCUGCUGUGAAAACUCGAGGCUCAACCUCGAGAUGUCGGCGGAAACCAUCUGGCUAGAGUCCGGAAGAGGAGAGUGGAAUUCCCGGUGUGAGCGGUGAAAUUCGUAGAUAUCGAGAGGAACACCGGCGGCGAAGGCGGCCCACUGGACAGAUACUGACGCUGAGACUCGAAAGCGUGGGGAGCAAACAGG
rnacentral:rRNA from 1 species